rnacentral:lncRNA from 1 species
GGAAGACAAUGUCUGUGGCUCCUGCAGUAAUGUUUUCUGGCUGUAGGUUUGCAGAGGAUGCAGAUGUGUGUGUGCUUGGGAAAGGCAAACCAUCCUGCUGGCAAUGAAAAGGGGUAGACCAGCCCAUAAGACAAAAGCUGGGAAGUAUGGAUCACUACGAGGGUGCUCGUGAACAUCUAGGUUUGGUAUGACACAUCAGUCACAAUGGAGGCAGUCCAGGCAAACAGCUUUAGGAGAGCAUGUGCUGUGCUUCAAGAUUCCCCUCAGCUGACCAUAUGCAUUUUCCUAGAAGAGGAAACCACGAUCAGUAAAGCUUGCAGGGCUGUGGAGAACCUUCCUUACUCAGGCAGUGUCCUGUGCCAUGUGUCUGGGAGCCAGAGGGUCUCUUCUGGAGCCUUCACCACCACAUCACACCUCUGGCCCUGCAAGAUUGGCAUCUUCUCCCAGAUAUAA